rnacentral:tRNA from 1 species
GUCGAGAUAGUCUAGUGGUCAUGACGUCUGCCUUACACGCAGAAGGUCGCGAGUUCGAUCCUCGAUCCUGGUA